rnacentral:rRNA from 1 species
UACAGAGACUGCAAGCGUUAUCCGGAAUCAUUGGGUUUAAAGGGUCCGUAGGCGGUUUAGUAAGUCAGUGGUGAAAGCCCAUCGCUCAACGAUGGAACGGCCAUUGAUACUGCUAGACCUGAAUUACUAGGAAGUAACUAGAAUAUGUAGUGUAGCGGUGAAAUGCUUAGAUAUUACAUGGAAUACCAAUUGCGAAGGCAGGUUACUACUAGUGGAUUGACGCUGAUGGACGAAAGCGUGGGGAGCGAACAGG